rnacentral:snRNA from 1 species
GUGCUUGCUUUGGCAGCACACAUAUUAAAAUUGGAAUGAUACAGAGAAGAUUAACAUGGUCUCUGCACAAGAAUGACAUGCAAAUUUGUGACAUAUUCACAUUUUAA